GUGGGGAAUCUUAGACAAUGGGGGAAACCCUGAUCUAGCCAUGUCGCGUGAGCGAUGAAGGCCUUAGGGUUGUAAAGCUCUUUCAGAUGGGAAGAUAAUGACGGUACCAUCAGAAGAAGCCCCGGCUAACUCCGUGCCAGCAGCCGCGGUAAUACGGAGGGGGCUAGCGUUGUUCGGAAUUACUGGGCGUAAAGCGCACGUAGGCGGACCAGAAAGUCAGAGGUGAAAUCCCAGGGCUCAACCUUGGAACUGCCUUUGAAACUCCUGGUCUUGAGGUCGAGAGAGGUGAGUGGAAUUCCGAGUGUAGAGGUGAAAUUCGUAGAUAUUCGGAGGAACACCAGUGGCGAAGGCGGCUCACUGGCUCGAUACUGACGCUGAGGUGCGAAAGCGUGGGGAGCAAACAGGAUUAGAAACCCGAGUAGUCC
rnacentral:rRNA from 1 species